CAUUUAGCCCAGUUUUUUCUAGAACAGGUCUCAAAUUAGUAAUACAUGUUUUCAGUUACCUGUCGUAGGCAGCCGUUUCAUGUUAAAUGCAGGAAUGUUCAUUUGUGGUGGUUGUACUUUGCUUUUUGGAAUCCUUGACAAGGUGGACACACGCGAAAAUAUAGUCACGUUCGUCGUGCUGUGUUUCAUCACGCGCGUUCUUCUCGCGCUAGGAAGCACGGCUCUGCAAAACGCGGGGUUCGUGAUUCUCGUGAAGUCAUUUCCGAACAACGUUUCCACCGUUGUUGCUGGCGGCUUCAUACUUCCGUUCGCGGUGAUAGGAGGUAUCUGCUUCACCAUACUUCCAUUUUCAUUGGCGUACCUACCCCCACAGGACGACACUCAGGAAGCGGAUGAGGACGUUGUGUCAUGGCGACAUGUGCUGCUACAUCCGCGAUCUGUCGUAAACAGCAUCGUGGUCAUCAUAGCCGCCCUUGUGUGGGCAGUUCUAGACCCGAACCUUGAGCCACAUCUUCGCGAGUACAAUUUGGGACCAGAAUUGGUGGGCGUGAUGUUUCUAAUAAUGGCCGCAGUUUACUCGGUGACGUCACCCAUGUAGGGUCGCUUAGCAGACUAUUUGCCGGAUAACAGGACAUUACUGAUUCCCGGCCUGUUAUUUGCCGCCCUUGGGCUUCUACUCUUGGGUCCUUCCCCACUUCUUGGGUUCGACAGUAGUUUCAACUCGCUGUGGCUGACCAUCGUGGCCCUGGUUGUUCUGGGACUCUCGGCCAGUAUGUGUGUCAUACCCACCUACGACAUCUAUAUCGACGUGCCCAAAGACCUGGACUAUCCCACUGACACACGAACGUACGGCAUGGUGUCGGGACUUUGGGUAUCGAUGUACGCCCUAGGGGAUUUUGUUGGGCCGACUAUAGGGGGCUAUCUUUACGAUGAGAUUGGGUUUGUAUGGCUUAUGACGUGGGUUGCAGGCUUCUGUAUAGUAACGACGGGUUUAGUCGUAAUGACUUGGUUCUUCGAAAAGCGAUGCUGUAUUAAAAAAUCUCAUCACGUCAAUGACCACACUGAUAACGUAAAUAAUGUACAUGACGUCGACGAGAAAACGCCACUUAUUCAUCAAGACGACACAACAAACAGUAUGCGAUCAUUACCGCCCGGUUUCCUCUUCAAUGCAUCAACAGAUGUAGAAAAUUCGGUUUCUGUCUAGAUGAAGGAUCAUUGGAACUUCAGCUUUUAAUUAUCGACGAUAUUACGAAAUUGACUGUACUUUAUUUGCUUAACUGAAAGUUUGUCAAGCGAAAAAACGAUUACUGUAUGUGGUGUUUAUCUGCUUUAUUUGGCUUGUAUAUGCUGUUCUGAAUCACAAAACUAUAUUGUGAAACUGCUCAAAUCAAAUUGUACCAACAUGUACGACAUAAUUGGGGACCUUUAAAUGCGGCACAUACUGAAAACGUAUUGCAAUUGACGCUUCAUAAUGACUUCAAACACGUGAAAUUCAUAUGUCAGUAUUAACGGCUUUUCCACGUGACUUAAACACUCGUGACCUUAGAGCCAAAUCACACAGCACGUCCGGUAUGACCCCAUCUUAUCAAACAUCUAAUUUUUGAAGUUGUUAUAUUAAGACACUGAGUUCUAAUUUUUUCGUAAACAAGGAAUUAUCAAAGGACCCAAGUUAUGAAUGUUACAUGGGCAGGACUAAUAGUAUAUCGGUCCUUAAGGUGUAACAUUCCUCCUGAUAAUUCAUAAACAUAGUAUUUAAACUAAAUGUAAAUUUGGUCUUUAAUAAGUAUUGCCCCGGAACCGCAUCGUAUGAUGUGCCUAUCUGACUGUUAGUUUAGUUUAAACCUGUUUAUUUUAGCUUGAUUGCAUCGAACGCCUAUUGGCUUAUAUAAACGCGCUCGAGUCCGUUUUCUGGACCUUAAACCAGUGCUUGGUGUCUUUUGGGGGCAUCUGAAGAACGCUCCUAAGAUAGGGAUCGAACCCGUGACCUCCCGGUCGCUAGGCGGACACCAUAUAUAUUACACCACGGCGACUGUUUAACAUGGUCACGUAAUUUAACUUAUUCACGUGCUGAAUAAAUGCUAGACUCAGGUAAGCAAUUAUGUUGUUAAAGAUAUAUGCUGUUGUUUUGUGUUGUUGUUUUUCAUUGCUUUGUAUUGCGUUUAUCAAUUGUAUAAUAUUUAAAUUUAAUGUUUCAAGGUUAUGUAGGGAACUUACAAAUUAUGUGCAAUAACGUUCACAGUUUGUGCUGAAAUGCUUGAAGAUAUUGUAUUUUAGUUUUUUUUGUCAAUAAUGUGCAGGUGUUUUUGCAAACAAUAUAAUAUAUUAUGUUCAUUUAUUUAAAUACUCUUUUAAAAUAUUCAUAAGUAUAAGCAUCACUUUGAGGCCAGUGUCAAAACGUUAAUGACAAAAUCCUGUAUUAAACAAAAUGUGAUAUUACUAUUUUUAAGUAGUAUUGUAUGUACGUUUUUUUACGUUUUCAUCGUGGACAAAGGUUGUGUCAAUUAUUAGAGUCAAGAAAAAAGUUCGUGUUCACAAAUUAUCUUGUUUCAAAAGAGAUUAAGCCACAUUGAUGCAUACUUCGGUAAAUUUAUUAUUAUUAUGAACACAAACUACGUAUAAAAUGACAAACGCAAUCAUAAAGCCACUAAUCUAUGUGACCAUGAAAAAGUCAUUUGUGAAAAAAAACACAAGAGAUUUUAUGUGGGCGAAUUAUGUUUUUUUACUGUUUAAGGCUUUAUUAAAAACAGUUUAUGCCAUGUCAUAUACUCGGAUGGGUAGUAAAACCCCUAAAUAUCGUAAUAUAUACGAAAAACGAUCAGUAUACAAAAACGCACUAUAGCGAAUGUAAUGUAUAUUGUAAUGUUUUUUAUGUUAAAUCGUUUCAAAUGUUCAAUUAAUAUGUGCGUUAAAAUAAAUGUAUCAUCUCGA